CCGGCUCUUUGCCAGGCAGGGCACCUGUCCCCAGCCCCUCAGGGACCUCUCCCCACCGCCGGGCUCUGUGCUCUCCGCCCUCCUCACCGCCCACUCCUUCUUUUUCCUCCUCCUCCCGCUGCUCCUCCGGGAGCCUCUCCUCCGCUGCACACCUGCCUUGCCAUUUGUCAGCGGCUUUGCUAGGAGGGGAGAAUUUUCCCUCGCUCCCUUACAGCAUCCCUCUCCGGCACACACACACACACACGGAGGCACAGCGCUGUGUGUGUAUAUCUGUGUGCCUGUUUGCAGCGGCGGCCGCCGCCUCUCGGCACCCCGCUCCGCCGUCCCCGCGUUCCCCACCGCCGCGGGGCGUCCUCCGCCCGCCGCAGCGCAGCCGGCCCGGGGAGGAGGAGGAGGAGGAGGAGAAGGAGGAAGAGAAGGAGGAGGCGGCGGCGGCGGCAGCGGCUCCGCUGCUCCGCGGCCGCGCACCGGCAGCGGUAGGUACGACGCGGGGAUGGGAAGAGGAGGGCGGUGGGAGUCAGGGGAGAGCCGCGCUGCCCUGCCCCGAUGGAGGCGCCCGAUUUGGGGCUCUGAAUUUGGAACAGUUUUUGGUUAUAUGCUUCCUGAAACUUGGAGAAUACCUGCAAUAAAUAGGAUUGGCCAUGAGAAUUUGUAA
rnacentral:lncRNA from 1 species